rnacentral:rRNA from 1 species
UCGAGAAUAUUCGACAAUGGGCGAAAGCCUGAUCGAGCGACACCGCGUGCAGGAUGAAGGCCUUCGGGUCGUAAACUGCGGUAGUAGGGGAGGAACGAAAGUGACUGUACCCUACGGAAAGAGGUGGGUAACUACGUGCCAGCACCAGCGGUAAUACGUAGACCUCAAGCGUUAUCCGAAUUUAUUGGGCGUAAAGCGUAUGUAGGAGGUUUCGUGCGUCUGCGGUUAAAGCCCACUGCUCAACGGUGGAGAUGCCGCGGAUACGGCGAGACUAGAGGAGGUUAGAGGUGCAUAGAACGCACGGUGUAGGGGUGAAAUCCGUUGAUAUCGUGCGGAAUACCAAAGGCGAAGGCAGUGCACUGGGACCUUCCUGACUCUGAGAUACGAAAGCGUGGGGAGCAAAAAGG